CUUGACUAAUCUCAGACUUUAUUUUGGUAUAGGAGGACUAAUUUUCAUAUAUUAGGUCGCACAACUACCCCUGUAAACAGAGAAUUGAGGUUUCCAUAAUGAGCACCCCACCAGACAAAACCAGGACCUAGCAAUAUUGUUGACAAAUAUGUGAUUAGUUACGGCAUUAUAUUCCUUUACUCUUUUAGAAAACAGAGAGCUUUUGUGUUGUACUUGGGAAUGGAACAACAUUGAAGAACAGUGACUGAGUAUGGGUUUGGGGAUCCAUUUACCACAGGACUGAAAUAUCAAAUUCUUGAAAUUUGAAGACUUCAAAUUACUUGGACUCUUCAUGAGUUUUUACACUUGAAAUUCAGGCUGACUAGUUAGUGACAAUGAGAAUUCAACUCUCCAUGUCUAUACUCAUGAUCUAACCUAAAAUGAAACAGGGAUGUGUUGCUGAGGGAAGGAAUCUGACUUUUUUGAAGAUGAGGCCUAGUGGGUCCCUGAAAUAUUACAUUAAAAGAACACUGACUAUUAGUGUGGGCUUGUGAGAUCUGAACUGCCAAGAUUCUUAAACAGUGAUCUUUGAAUUGAAUACAUAUGAAAAGGCAUUCAUCCUCUGAGACUUUGGGGUUGCUGAGUAGGGCCUUUGAGGGACAGAGUCCCUGUUGUCAGUCUCCUCUGGCCAAGAGCAGACUUGUACAUUUUGACCUUACAUGUGCUACAACAUGAAGACAUUUGGGAAGCAUUGUCUAUUCCCCUCCCCUGCCAAGUGACUGAUGACCUUUCCUGGUUGCCAGGGGCUGAUUUAGGUUCCAAGCAGAACACUCCUAGUGUUCUUUGCAGUUUGUUGUGGACUUCCAGGGUCCUGGCAAUCUGAGGCUGAUGUGGUGCUAUGGAGUAUCCGUUUACUGCUACGAAGUUCAGCUUUAUACAAGUCCUGGAGAAGCUGAGUGAGCCCAUGUCAGCAUUGCCAAGAUACAUGAGACUAAUGUCAGAUUAAUAAGGCUUAACCUAAGGGAUAAUACCAUGCUGUACCUCUUGGGAGGAAGAUGAAUGUCUUUGAAAAGGCACAAGUGACCACUCCAAAAUGACAGAAGGAAAUGACCCGAGGCAGGAAGUGAACAUUUGACUAGAAGUUUCAUCAAAGAGAUGUUAAACAAUUAUGAGAUCUGAGAUGCACAAUAUUUUUUGGGGGAUGAUUGUUUGAAGUGUUGACUAUGAAUACUAAUGUUUUGUGUCUUUUGUCAGGCGUACAAAAUGCAUUUUCAAAAUCUGAAUGUGUACAAGGGAUAGAAAACUAGAUAUUCUCUAUCUUUUCUCCUUUUUUUUGUAAUUAAGAGAGAUUCAAAUUUUUCAUUUUCCACUCAUAUGUGACCCAAAAGAUGUUUCCCUUAGGGCUUUGACAUUCUGACUUUUAUCUCUGUGUCGGGGAAAACCAAGAUCAUGUUAAUGAUCAAUUUAAAUAAAUAAUUAAUUCUCAUAAACUUGACCUUAAAUGGUCUAGUUCAUAUGUGAAACCAAUUAGCUUAUAAGUGGCCAGGCAAUACCUUAGAAGGCAGAUGACAGGAUUAUUUUUUAUAUACACCUGCAAUUCCAUCCAUUCUUUUUAACGUUACAUGUAACAUUUAUCCUGUUAAGAUGAGAAUGAAUAGCUUCUUCUGGAAUCUCAUAACCAACCUCAGUGAUAUCAUUAUAUUUUACAUCACUGGUGUGUGUUAUCACCCUUGGAGUCUGUAGUUUUUCUGAUAGCUUAUGAAGAUGAAAGGGUUGGGAAAAGAAGAAAAUCAUAUCCAUCAGUAAAUAAAUACCAAUGCUCAGAACUCAACUCCAACUGAAGUUCCAUCCAUGAUAUUUUAAUAAUUUACAAUGUACUCUAAUUCACGUUCUUCUCAAAUAAAGCACUCAAUUUACCAGAAAUCUAGAAUUGAAUUAAGGUCAUUUGUCCACGCAUAUGUUUUUUUUUGCCUUAUAGUCUAUUAUAAACUUACAGUUAAAAUGGUUUGCAUUGGUUUUGUAUUUUUCAGGGUCAGUAUGGA
ensembl:lncRNA